rnacentral:lncRNA from 1 species
AUUCAGGAUUCACAUAAAAGGAUCUAAAAAACACCACCUUGGAAUACGCAAACCCUUUACGGAAAAGAAGGUGUGGUAAUGGGCGCCUGAACAUGAGAUCCACUGGUCCUACUGCAUUCCUCAUCAUACAGAAGAUGCCAGCUUGAUAGAGCUCUGGAAAGGACACUUAAAGACAAUACAACUUCCUAUUGCCUGUGCCCACAGAGACUGCUCCCUGCUCUUUGCUCUUGGUAUAAUACAACAAUGAUUUUCUCACCUGACAAAAGACUGGAGAAACGUAACAAGAAUGUUUUAGAACAUUGCUAUGCAAGGCAGGGUCUAUG